rnacentral:rRNA from 1 species
GACGAACGCUGGCGGCGUGCCUAAUACAUGCAAGUUGAGCGCUGAAGGUUGGUACUUGUACCGACUGGAUGAGCAGCGAACGGGUGAGUAACGCGUGGGGAAUCUGCCUUUGAGCGGGGGACAACAUUUGGAAACGAAUGCUAAUACCGCAUAAAAACUUUAAACACAAGUUUUAAGUUUGAAAGAUGCAAUUGCAUCACUCAAAGAUGAUCCCGCGUUGUAUUAGCUAGUUGGUGAGGUAAAGGCUCACCAAGGCGAUGAUACAUAGCCGACCUGGGAGGGUGAUCGGCCACAUUGGGACUGAGACACGGCCCAAACUCCUACGGGAGGCAGCAGUAGGGAAUCUUCGGCAAUGGACGAAAGUCUGACCGAGCAACGCCGCGUGAGUGAAGAAGGGUUUCGGAUCGUAAAACUCUGUUGGUAGAGAAGAACGUUGGUGAGAGUGGAAAGCUCAUCAAGUGACGGUAACUACCCAGAAAGGGACGGCUAACUACGUG